rnacentral:misc_RNA from 1 species
UCUCCGUUGGUGAACCAGCGGAGGGAUCAUUACCGAGUUAUCAACUCCCAAACCCCUGUGAACAUACCCAACGUUGCUUCGGCGGGACCGCCCCGGCCCCCCCGGACGCCCGGAACCAGUCGCCCGCCGGAGGACCCAAACUCCUGUUUAAACCAUAGUGGCAUAUUCUGAGUCUCACAAGAAAAUGAAUCAAAACUUUCAACAACGGAUCUCUUGGCUCUG